rnacentral:miRNA from 1 species
AGGGUGACCAAGUGUCCUGGUUUGUCUGGGACUGAGGGGUUUCCCAGGAUGCGGGACUUUCUAAAGCUAGAACCAGGAAAGUC